CAGGCAGCUGCUAUAUAACAGUCUCUGAGGGACGUUCCCUCCCUUUUUCCUGCGGAGAAUCAGCGACGCUGGUUCAAGUGGCGGGGACUAUGGAGAUAAACUUCAUGGUGAUAUCCUGGAAGUUGUGCAGAAUAAUUAAGCCCUUCAUGAAAACAUCAACCGUUCUAGAAGACUAUAUGAUGUACAAUUGUGGAUGUUCCUGAAUAUUUAAGACAGAAUGUGACUUAUUAGCACGUAUCCAGUGGAUAAUGAAUCAGUGAAUGAAUAACUGACAGCGCAGUUGGGAUAUAAAACUACUUGCGAUUCUAGUACUACUAAAACAGAGAUCUCUGAAGGCUGACUCAAUAUUAAAGUGAAAUGGUGGAAAAUGUAGGAGCAGAUGCAUUUAGUUAUUCAGUGAUGAGGUGGAAUUUUUGUAUCAUCACCUGACAAGUGUGGAUAGUAUCACUGGAAGAAGUCUGACACCUGAAGAUACUCAGAUACCAAGAUUUUAACAACAAAAAAAGUUACAGGUUUAUGCUUCUGAAAUAGUUUGUGGAGUUUGGUAGUUAAUAUUUCUGAAACUUCACAUGGCCCAGAACCAGUUGGUCCCUGCCUCUUUUAAAACAGUGAGCAAUCAUGGUUUGUGGAAAUCUGAAGAUCUUGCCAAAAUUGAAGACUCAGCUCCCUCUAGUGAAACCAGAGCUGUCUUAUAAUAGGGAAACUGCACGUGGGAUCAAAGAAGAGAAAAUUCAGUUUUGCUAAAGUCAGUCUGAAAACAGAAGAUGUUAAAUCUGACAUGACUUCUCUCAGGAGAUUAUGGUGGCUGAAGGGAAAUAGAACAUAAACAGUGGGGAAAAAUUAGAUUUUAUCAGGAGAGGCUCCCCUACUCAGUAAACAAAAUAUUAAGGGCAACAAACAAUAAGCUUCAGGGGAAAAAACUUCAAGUGGCUAGCCAGUUUCCUGUGAAGGAAAUAAAGCACACUUUGAUAUUACUGGGGAAAAAUGUGUGCCCCAAACAGUAAUAAAAUGGGCAAUGGAAAACCCAGGCACCUUCUGUAGAAAGAUGGUGAGAGCACCAAUUAAUGUAGAAAAUCCUACUAAUGACACUUCCCCUCUGAGAGAAAUUUCAUUCAGGAAGUGAAAGAGGAAGAUCAGGUGGUAUUAAUCAGUGAAGCCACUGAGGAAGCAAAAAUCAGACAUUUGUAAGAAAGCAAAAUUCAACACAUUGUAGGAGUUGUGGUCACAAGAGAACUAGGCUUAAACCACAACCUGGGUUCUGUUGAUGCUGAUGGGGAAAGAAGUAGGUUUUUAUGCACCGCUGCACAACCGCAUGAUAAGACCAAUGCAUUGGUGUGGAACUCUUUUCUGUUGAGCAGAAAGAUGCUAGCAAUGCUAUGGUUUUUUUGUGAAAGAGGCCCACUCAGGAACUUCUGUUUUAAGAAACUUCUUGAAAAAUAACCAUGCCAUAAUGUGGGAGAAACAUCUCUGCUGCAUUCAGCAACUUAGCCCUCAUGCAGUAGAGAAAGAGGUGGAGGAGACAGGUCAUAACAUCUGAUAAAUUGCGGUCCACAAAUACUCCAGUCAGUGGCAUUCCAUCCAGUAUGCCUUCUAGUGUUAGGAAGGGAAGCAGAUACACAGGCAAACUACCCAUCGACUGACACAUACUUUGAUAUGUCUUUCAGAGUAGGUUAAGAAAAAUCCUGUAAUCUCCAUGCUUAAUACAUAACUGGCAACAAUGCUAGCAGUGGGUCUGCAGCCCUUUUAUUGGCCAGGGCAGAGGGCUUUCAGGCACUAAUGGAAUACCCCAUUCCCAAGUGGCAAAUACCUAGCAAAACCUACUUUUUGGCUAAGGCAAUACCAUAGUUGAACAAAACUCUGUGUUGCAGUGUCCAAGGCAUUGAGGCUGUCAAAGGUGAGGAAGAUCAAUCAGCCCACUGAAAUGUGGACCAGUGGUCAGACCAUGGACUGUGUAUCAGCUCAUUGGGUAUCUCUUCCUCUUCAGUUACCUGUGGUAGCAGGUAGUCAGAUACUUUGCCACAGCCUACAGCCCAACACCGGGCAACAUGCCAACUCCGUGUUUGAAGUUUUGAAACCCUAUAAUCCAUUGUGUAUUGGAGAAACUGCAGAAUGGCUUUCCUCUUGCUCACUUCUAGGAGGAUUUAUUACCAGAAUCUUAUACCGCAAUACAAGAACUAGGGGUCACCAAAUGAAAUUAAUAGGCAGCAGGUUUAAAACAAAAGGAAGUUCUUCUUCAUGCA